CACAUAAAAAGGAAGCUAGCAGCCUGGCAGCACACAUCGGAGCUAUCAAUACUCCAGCAGGACGACUAACAAGAGAUCGGUGUACACUGUACAGACAGGUUCAAACAUGAAGACUGUGAUUCUUGCUCUUCUGGUAUUGGUGGUUGUGAGCCAGGGUGAAGCCUUGAGGUGUAAUUGUGAAGGCACCUUUGUGAAAUGUUCAGACCCU